UUUACUAUGUAGAAAAUUCAAUAUUUCUUUGUUACCUCACUUUCGUUUUUCAAUUUCCCAUUCCUUGGGGGAUUCCUUGUCAUAUAAAUGUUAAUUUCUCGAACACAUUUUCCUUUAUACAAAUUUGUUACUAUAAAAGCGUUGUAGCUCACCAGACUCGUUUAUUUUGUUUCAGUGUCGUAAAGAUGAAGGUUAUGAUAGUAAUGUUGCUUAUAUCUAUGGUGUAACAAAUGUCUCACGGUGACACCGUCCAUGGAGUGAAUGUUCCUGCAUCUACCACAGCUAAGUCAUGGACAAGGAAGUUGGGCGAGAAAGCGAGCAAGGUACUGUAUGGCCUGUCAGUGAUCGGUCAGGUGCAAGGAAUAGUACAAGGAGGUCGAGGAGGUCACAGACAUAAAGGGACAGCUCUCAAAAAAACAACAUAGUAUACG